UGCCUCACAUAUCCUUGUAUCUAGGUGGAGAACUAGCUCUGUUACACAAUAAGGCUUGUUCUGAUUUAAACUGCCUAGUGCUGGGACAUAGUUCAUUUCUAAGAAUGUGUAGCCACAUUGCAAGGAUAAACAUGUUGCCUCAUAAAGAAGAUGAAGCCAUUUAUUUGCACUUCUUAACUAAGCUCCUUAUUCAGAGCAGGAGUGUCAGUGCUCUGCUCAGCUGCCACCAUUCCUGCCUCAUCACUCAAGCCUGAGUAGUGCCUUAACUGGAAUGGAGACUUUGACGAAUCCCAGUGAUGAGCACAGCAGAGCUUUCAGCAGUGUUUGCCCACUCAUCCAGCUCUUCCCUUUAUGUCACAUCUGAAUGAACAUUUUUGCAUGGGAAGGAGACCUGCAGGUGAGAGCAGGACUGCUCAAAGGCUGGGUGAUGAGCAGCACCUUGAAGACACCAGCCCUAUGCUGACAGCCUGGAUGUGCAAUCAGCAGCUGUGGUACAGGACUCUCAUUCACCACACUGGAGAUGGCAUUUUCAUUCUAUGUCCUCUAUAUCUCCAGGUGCAUAUAUUU